rnacentral:rRNA from 1 species
GACGGAGGAUGCAAGCGUUAUCCGGAAUGAUUGGGCGUAAAGCGUCUGCAGGUGGCAGUUCAAGUCUGCUGUCAAAGACCGGGGCUUAACUUCGGAAAGGCAGUGGAAACUGAACAGCUAGAGUAUGGUAGGGGCAGAGGGAAUUCCUGGUGUAGCGGUGAAAUGCGUAGAGAUCAGGAAGAACAUCGGUGGCGAAAGCGCUCUACUGGACCGCAACUGACACUCAGGGACGAAAGCUAGGGGAGCGAAUGGG